rnacentral:rRNA from 1 species
UACAGAGGUCUCAACCGUUGUUCGGAUUCAUUGGGCGUAAAGGGUGCGUAGGCGGUCGUGCAAGUCGGAUGUGAAAUCUCAGGGCUCAACCCUGAAACUGCAUUCGAUACUGCGUGGCUAGAGUGCUGGAGAGGAGACUGGAAUUUACGGUGUAGCAGUGAAAUGCGUAGAUAUCGUAAGGAAGACCAGUGGCGAAGGCGAGUCUCUGGACAGCAACUGACGCUGAGCACGAAGGCCAGGGGAGCGAAA